rnacentral:rRNA from 1 species
UACGUAGGGUGCAAGCGUUAAUCGGAAUUACUGGGCGUAAAGCGUGCGCAGGCGGUUUUGUAAGUCUGUUGUGAAAUCCCCGGGCUUAACCUGGGAAUGGCAAUGGAGACGGCAAGGCUAGAGUUUGGCAGAGGGGGGUAGAAUUCCACGUGUAGCAGUGAAAUGCGUAGAGAUGUGGAGGAACACCGAUGGCGAAGGCAGCCCCCUGGGUCAAAACUGACGCUCAUGCACGAAAGCGUGGGGAGCAAACAGG